rnacentral:misc_RNA from 1 species
AAGUCGUAACAAGGUCUCCGUAGGGGAACCUGCGGAGGGAUCAUUUCCGAAAAGAAAAUGGUAGGGAGAAGGGCUUCACGGCCUUUUUUCUUUACUGUUUUUCAAAAAAAGUUGCUUGUGCUCAAAAAAAAUCAUAAUAAGAAUUGAUAUGAUUUGUUUGUUGUUUUUUUGGGUUUUUAUUACCCCAUCUAAAUACAAACAAGUCUAAUUGUUUCUUUACUUAUGAAUUAACAAAACUGUCAUGAAAAUAUCCUUAACCUAUUCUUAAGAAUCUGCUUUAAAAAAAAGUGUAACAACUAUCAACGGCGGAUCUCUUGGUUCGU